UUGCUUCCCUUUGUUGCCUUUGAACGGUUUUGCUUGGGGUGGCGGUGCAUUUUCUGAACUAGUUGAGUUUUCUAACUCUAGAUUAUUUUCUGACACUAUCAAUUUGGGAAUUCUUCUGACAGAUGCAGGGACAACGCCGGAGAGGUUAUUCUUGGAAAGAUCCACGGCAGAAAUGUUUGGAAUAUUUCCGAGUUGUGAAGGUAUCGUGCCAUUUAUGAAGUUAUGGCUUAAAUCAAGUUGUCUCAGAUGUGUAAGGUUGCCUAUCUCCGACGGAAAUAUUCCGCUUAAAGUGUUGUGGCUUAAUACCAAGUUCUGUAACUGCGAGCAAUUCAUGAGUUCUGGAGGAAUGGAGCUGCUGAGCUGAUUAUAACCAAGAUUCAAAGAGGUGAGGUUGGUUAAAUAACCAAUUGUUGGAGGAAUGGGUCCAAUUAGAUUGUUCCCGUCAAGAGACCGAGAAUCAAGAUACUUCAGAUUUCCAACUUCCCGAGGCAGCAGACCACUAAGUUGGUUUGAAGAAAGAACCAGAGAUGUUAAGUUGGUUAAAUUUCCAAUGGUCGAUGGAAUUGGACCAUCAAGUCUGUUGUGAGACAAGUCCAAAAUUUCCAACAAGUUUAAAUAACCAAUGGUCGAAGAAAUAGGUCCAGUGAGAUUGUUCCUAUGUAGAAGGAGAAUCUUAAGAUUCUUCAUAUUUCCAACUUCUUUAGGCAGUGGACCAACAAGAUUGUUGUAAGCCAAGUACCACUCUAUUAACGGAUUUAAAUGAUAAAGUGUUGAAGGAAUAGGUCCAGUUAGAUUGUUACUAUCCAGAUACAAUAACUCAAGAAUCUUGAGAUUUCCAACUUCUCGAGGCAGACGACCACUAAGCUUGUUUAAAGAAAGGUUCAAACCCGUCAACUUGGUUAAAUUACCUAUGCUCGAUGGGAUUAGACCAUCUAGUUUGUUACCUUGCAGCAUCAGAUAAUCAAGAUCCUUCAAAUUUCCAAUUUCUAGUGGGAUAGAACCAUUGAGAAUGUUAAUAGAUAGAUCCAGUUGGAAGAGAUUCCUCGAACUCCCGAUCUCUGAAGGGAUAGUACCUAUCAUAUACAUAUACAUCUGCAUAUGACUAAUUAUUGAUAAAUUAUCAAUAUUAUCCAGUACCGAUAGGAAAAUAAUUUGUAUGCGGUGAAAUUCUAUAUAAUGGUUACCUGUUAGAUGGUUCUGAGACAGGUUAAGCACUUGGAGUUUUGAAAGAGCACCAAUUUCUGAUGGUAUCCUUCCCGACAAAAAACCAGUGCCCGAAAUUUUGAAAGUUAUGAGAUUGGGAAAGCAAGUGAAGUUGAAUUGGCUAAGCUCUGCUGCGUUGCCAUUAUUAUCCAUCUCGUAAGAACUUAUCUCGACUAUGCUUCCUGCUGAAUUGCAAGUGAUUCCCAUCCACUUGCAAUGAUCUGAAGUAUAGUUGGCCGUCGCCCAACUGCUAUUCCACCAGCCUGAAUUAAGUAAAGCUUCCCUUUCUAACUGUAUGGCUGACGAUGCAUCAGAUGCUGUUAGAACUGCAUUAUCAGUUAUAACAGGAACAAUAAUACUGCUUAUAAAAGUUAUAAUGACCACCAAUUUUGAAAUGGAGGAAUCCGGUGCCAUUUUUAUAAGUUUUUGGUUGAUUAGAUUCAGCCAGUGCGUGCCUGCUUUUAUAACCAAACAUUAAGUUUGACGGCAACACUCAAUCAUGUUUAGCCCGCGUUGACCUUUCUCCCCCAUCGUCAAAAUUGGCAUACGCGUUAUCAAACACAAGGGUCAGUUGAGUUAAUGUCUUUUUAGGCCACUAAUUACUAUUUCUAAUUAAUUUCGCAAAGGCUACAUGUGAUUCAUAUUAUCUACAAUAUCUAAAAUAUUGAUGGAUAUUCUUUGUACAUGUCUCUUCCUCUUUCUAUUUAAAUCCAACAAUAUGUAACCAUUAAUAGUAAUUAAUUAUAAGUCUUUUGAAACAUUCAUUUAUUUUAUUAUGCUAGCAAUUAAACUUUAGUGACUUAAAAUACAUUAAUUAAUUAACAUAGGAAGAGAGGUUCUUUUAUCUUCCCUCAAUAAUACCACUAGGGCUUAAGUUUAAUUUUAAUAAUUUUAAUGUCUCUUCUUCUUUCUAUUUAAAUCUAACAAUAUGUAACCAUUAAUAAUAAUUAAUUAUAAGUCUUUUGAAACAUUCAUUUAUUUUAUUAUGCUAGCAAUUAAACUUUAGUGACUUAAAAUACAUUAAUUAAUUAACAUAGGAAGAGAGGUUCUUUUAUCUUCCCUCAAUAAUACCACUAGGGCUUAAGUUUAAUUUUAAUAAUUUUAAUGUCUCUUCUUCUUUCUAUUUAAAUCUAACAAUAUGUAACCAUUAAUAAUAAUUAAUUAUAAGUCUUUUGAAACAUUCAUUUAUUUUAUUAUGCUAGCAAUUAAACUUUAGUGGCUUAAAAUACAUCAAUUAAUUAACAUAUGAAUAAAGGUUUUUUCAUCUUUCCCUCAACAAUGCCACUAGGGCCUAAUUUUAAUGCCAUAAUCUCAUAUUUAAUUAUGCAACCUUUUAUUUAGUGCCUUUUAGCUUCUUCAAAUUUUAUUAUGCUAGCAAUUAAACUUUAGUAGCUUAAAAUACAUUAAUUAAUUAACAUAGGAAGAGAGAUUCUUUCAUCUUCCCUCAACAAUGCCACUAGGGCCUAAUUCUUCUUAUUCUAAAUUUAAGUUUCAUUUGCUUGUUAUCAUCAGCAACACAAGUCGAUUAUGAUGCAACUGCCAUUAUAAUUAAUGGAGAAUGACGAGUUAUCUUCUCUGGUGCAAUUCACUAUAUCCUCGUAGCAUUCCUCAAGUAAUGCAUGCAAAUAAUUUAUUUACAAUUUUUCAAAUCACUUGCACUUUCACAUUUUCUUCUUCUUUUAACCCCCCCCCCAAAUGCUACUUUGCUGCGAAAAUAUUAUAUUAAUUUUUUUUUUAUUCCGAACAAGCCAAACAUGACCCCACAUUUAAAACGGUGAGCUUUCAUGUUUAGGAAAAAUUAUGGACAAUAUUUUUGGAUCAAAUAGCAUUAUUAUUCUUUAAAUAUGCAAAUUUUGGUAUGAUUUAUUUCUAUAUGCAUUGUAUUUGUGCAGAUGUGGCCAGAUCUUCUACAAAAGGCAAAAGAUGGAGGGCUCAAUGCAAUUGAAACUUAUAUUUUUUGGAAUGCUCAUGAGCCUCAGCGUCGCCAGGUGUCAAUUAUUAUUAUUAUUAUUAUUAUUAUUAUUAUUAUUAUUAUUAUUAUUAUUAUUAGUAUGUGCGAUAUUUAUUAUUAUUGAAAUAAACAUACAAAAUUAACUUGUUUAAUCUUCCUUUUGAGAAGAGAUCAAUAUGAUUUCUCAGGAAAUUUGGAUUUCAUCAAAUUUUUAAUUUUUAAUUUGAUAUUUUCAAAGCAACGCGAGGCGCGGUUCUAUUUCCUAAUUUUAUAAUUUAUAUUGAUUGUCUAUUUGGUAAUACUAACGGUUUUUUACACUAAGCAAUAUUUUCAUGCCCAAGUCAUACUCAAUGCUAAAAAUAAAGUAAAUAAUUUUUUAUGCGCACAGAAAAAAAUAUAAAUUACCAGCGUGAGAUAGGAGUUCAUCAAUACUUAUAUCAUUAUCAUCAUCCAAACCUAUAUUUGCAUCAUCAAUUUAUCGAUCUAGAAAUGAGACUAGUACCUAUGUGUUUGAUUAAAAAAAAUCAUUAAAAAAUAUUACCUUUCAAGCAAUACAUAAUUUUGUUGUGUAUUAUAUACUAAAUUAAUGAUAUAUUCUAAAUAGAUGAAGUUCACUCCCAAGUGGUAUCAGAUAUCUACAUCUAAAAUGAUGUGUCUUAUAAUUUAAUGACAAAAAUAUACAUACACUCCAAGGUUUGGGGAAAUAACACGCGUGAACCUUACCAUACAAUAUAACCUUAUGACUGCAUUUUGUUAGAUAUUUUGUAAUUCAUUAAUUUUUGUUGUCUAUUAUAUACUAUAUUAAUGAUGAAUUCUAAAUAGAUGAAACUCAAUCCCUAGUAGUGUAUGAUAUGAUGAUAUCCAUGUGUCUUAUAACUUUACUGAAAUAAAUUUUGGGGAGUUUAAGUAUCUUUUUCUUUUAUAUUUAUGAGAAUUAAUAAUUCAAACUAGCUGUCAUUUUAGUUGUGUUUAAAAUUAAUUGUCUUAAGAAUUCGGAAAAUAUAUGGAAAAUUUUUCAAAAUGAUAAAAGGGAUAAUGUAGACCGACACGUUUAAACACGUGAACUCAUUAGUUGCCAAUUAUUUGAGACGCACAGCCAGGGGAUGCCGUGUGAUUAAACACGUGAAUAGAAAGCUUUUCCGGUCACUGGCUUUUCUGAGCCGACCAUAAAUUAAAGUAAAAUUGGAGUCAAGGUCUUGUAGACGAGGAAAAGAAGACGUGUGUACUGCGAGUUCACAUUUGAGGCUUGAUUGACAUAUUUGUCCCUCGUCAAGCUCGUCAAAGAAGCACCAAUAAAUUUCACUUUAGAAUAUAUAUAUUUUAUAUUUAUCCAAAGUAAAGGAUUUAAUUAAACAAAAUUCAGUCCCACGAAAGUUAAUAUACCGAAAAAAGUUAUACAAAAACCACUAUCAAAAUAUUGGAUAAUCUUGAGAAAUUUUAAAAUUUGUUCUUAAUUAACAAAGAAUUACGCCCAAUACCAUAUUUCGUCAAAUCUCAAAGGAAAUUUUCCCACUUUUCCAGUACAACAUUUUCUAUAAUUUACGGUAAUUAUGUAUUGGUAAUGCUAAUGGUUUUUUACACUAAACAAUAUUUUCAGACCCAAGUCAUACACAAUGCUAAAACCAAAGUAAAUAUUUUUUUUCAUUCGUACAGAAAAAAUAUAAAUUAUCAAGUUACUUAUAGCAUUUAUCAUCAUCCGAAGCUACAUUUGCAUCAUCAAUUGUCGAAUGUCGAUCCACAAAAGAGAAAUCAAAGAUGUUAAAAAUAUUUCUAACAAUAAAAUAAAUAAUUAAAUGUAAAGACUGGUACCUAGGUGUUUGAAUUUAAAAAAAAAAAAUCAUUAAAAAAUUAUCUUUCAAGUAAUAUAUAAUUUUAUUGUGUAUUAUAUACUACGUUAAUGAUGUAUUCUAAAUAGAUGAAGUUCACUCCCAAAUGGUGUUUGAUAUCUUUAUCUGAACGUGUCUUAUAUGUUUCAAAAGAAAAUUUUACCAAUACUCUUAAGGGUUGGGAGAAAUGAUAUGCAAGAACGUUACCUUGCAAUAUAACCUCGUGAUUGCAUUUUGCCGGAUACUAUAUAGUAAAUUAAUUUUGUUGUCUAUUACAAAAUAGAUGAAGCUUACUCUCGAGUAGAUGAAGCUUACUCUCAAGUAGUGUCCAAUACGGAGAUGUCCAUGUGUCUUACAAUUUUACUGAAACAAAUUUUGGGGAGUUCAAGUUUCUUUUUCCUUUAUAUUUAUAUAUAUGAGAAUUAAUAAUUCUAACCAUCUGUCAUUUUAGUGGUGUUUAAAAUUGAUGUAUCAACUAUCAAAAAAGAAAAAAGAAAAAAAUUGAUGUAUCAAAAAUAUGGAAAAUAGAUGGAAGAAUUUUCAAAUGAUACCCCGUCAAAGGGAUAAUGUAGAUUGACACGUUUAAACAUAUGAUCUCGUCAAUCGCCAAUUACUUGAAACCCACGGCCACGUUUAUUAGACAAUUUAAAAAAAAAAAAAGAUUUGUGUACUGCAGAUACUUGUGAAACUCAAAGGACUACCAAUUAAUUCACGUUAGAAAAGUGUUUUUUUGUUUAAUUAAAAGACAACGAUUUAAUCAGACAAAAUUCAGUCUGACGAAAUUUAUACAAACUACCAUGAGCAAAAUACAUUCAAGAUUAACAAUCACAUUAAUCUAGCAUCCUUUUUUUUUUUCUACGCCUUUCUCUUUUUCUUUUUUAACUUUUUAGGCCGCUUUUCUUUCUCCAAAUUACUUUUCUUGAUUUUCCACAGAACACAUCAAAACAUUGGACCACCUUGAGAGGUCAGAAAUAUUAAAUUUUUGGAGUCCACAAAAAAAAUAAAAUAUUUUUGUCAUAAUUUGUAGAUUUUGUUCUUUUAUCAUUUUCACAAAUUUAUUGAGAAGGCCAAAUAUUACCAUAUUUAAUCAAAAGUCAUAUAGAAUUUUUUUUUUAUAUUUUAUUAUGCAAAAAAGACGAUUGUUCUUAAAAGUUUAACCAAACAAAUUUUUAAUUAUUUUAUUUAACUGAUUAUCCAAGUUCGAAUUCUAGAUGACUCCGACCUUAAAAAUAACGUGUGCCAAUUAUCUAAGUUGAAUUAUUUUAUUUAACUGAUUAUCGGUGUACGUUUAAUAUUGUCGCUCUAAUUUGAUCCUAACGCGCGCUAAUGCAAAACGAUAUGCAAUGGAACUUUGUGAACUUACGGUAACAAUUUGUUUAAACUUAUGCAGACUACUUAACUAACCAGUCAAAUAGAGUGUCAAAUAACAUUUUAAUAUUUGGUUAAGAGACCACAAGAGUUCAUAAAUAUUUUUUUUUACCAAUUAAGAAGAUUAAAAUGAACGGCAUAUUUUGUACAGAAUUAAUAUGCGUAUUCAAAUUUAACAAUAUAGUGGGCUUUUUCAAAUUUCAAAUGUGUAGAUGGGGCUAAAUGCCUAAAUCACAACUUUCCUCAUCAUAACUCUGAAAAUUCAAAUUUGAAAAUAUUUUCUGACUCUCUUCUUCAUCAUUUAGUUUAUACUUCAACUGACCAUUAGAGGCAAUUCAGUUUCUGUACGAUCAUGCAAAAGGGUUAGAAAGUAAUUACAAUCAAUAUUUGUGUACUUCAGAAUUUGAACCUUAAUGAGCAAUUAACCAAGAGUUGUUAAUUUCUCUUCCUUUCCAAAAUUCUGUUAGAAUUGUCAAUUGUUACGGCAUAUGGGUGUAAAGAUUUUUUGAUAAUAAAAGUUAAAAUUAUUGGGUGGGUUUUUAUAAGAAUUUUGGAGGGGUGUAAGAAGGUCCACUCUACUCAUAAAUGAAGCCAUGGCUUGGAGAAAUGGAAAACGGAGCCCAUUAACCUUAAAGGCCUUAAACAAACCCAACAUGCUUUAAACUGAUAAUUAAGAUGUGAGACAAGCUCGCUCUAUCACUGAAGCAUGUUCGGUUUAUUAUACGUUGUAAACCCAUCAAUUUUUGAAGUUGUUUACUAUUGCAUUUAAUCUAAAACCUGUAUUUGGUUUAUUAUACGUUGUUUUCAAAGUCGUUGACAAUCGACGGGGCGAUACCGAAAUAGAUAGUCCUAGCCUCCUAGGCGCGCGCGCGCAAAAGAAAAAAAAAGGAUAAUGUAUUACAAGAUCACUGAUGCAUGGAAGAUCCUAGUUUUGUAGUGAGAGUAAAAGAAUUGAGCUUGAAACUAUUUUUUUGCUCAUUUUUUUAAUGAAACGCUUCAAAGAAAACAUAGAUGGCGGGAAGCAAAAUGGUUGAAGUUAGCAAGCUGUGCAGUGAGAACUGGAGGCACAUCACGAUUCACGCAUGAAUAGAAUUUGUGUGUAUGUGUGUGUGUGUGUGUGUUAGUGUUAAUAAGCCGAGGAUUGAUUCAGGCUGGCAAAAAUAUUAUUCAUAGUCAUUGUCAUUGUAGUGUAGUAUACCUUUAUUCUUAACUAGAUGUUAGUCCUUAUCUCCCCCAAGAUUCGACCACAAGUGGCUAGUUAUAGAAAGCUUCUUUUUUUUUUAAUUUAAAACCACCAGAGUGGUGGGGGGUUAGCCGGGACCCCUACCUGUAAUAUAAAUCUGAAAAUGAAUCAGAUACAAAGGAGGGAGACAUGAGAUACAAGAAAAGGAUAAAAUCCUAACGUCUGACAUAGGGGAUUGCAUGGGCAUCCAAGUAAAGAAUACCAGAUAAGCCUUUGAGAAGCUCCCGAGGAGAUUAAAAACGUCGGCUAGUCCGAUGAGUGCACGCCCAGUUGGCUAGAAAAUCAGCAGCAAAAGUAGCCUCGCAAAGAACAUCUCUCACCUAAAUGGGGAAUGACGUUACCAAACGACACACCCAGCGCAGAGAAUAACAAUACUCCCAUCGUAAAGGACCCUGGGUGUGAAUUCAUGACACCACUGUAGUCGAGUCUGACUCAACCUCAAGCACUGAAUACCCAAGCUGAAUGGCAAGCUCCAAACCGUUGCACACCGCCAUGAGCUCAACAUAUAAGAUUGGCUUGUAGCCCAAAAAGGAUCCAAAAGCCGCUAAAACCACACCCCGGUGAUCCCGAAGAGUACCCCCGGAAGCAGCCAUCUUAGGGUUGCCCCUAGAGCAACCAUCCACAAUCAGCUUAGCCACCCUUGGGGGCGGCCUCGUCCAAGUAACUAGACGAAUCGCCUCCUAGGGGGAGUCAUAACUCGCAAGCCCUCCGCAAUACGAGAACCCAAAACUCCCCUCAGUUGAAGAGGCUUGAAUCCAAAAGCAGAACUAGCGAGCCUGAGAUCAGAGUCGACCUGAUAGAUAAUCGCAUCAGUGGAGAAAGACUAUGAAUUAAACCGGAAAGCAUUUCGGGCCUUCCAAAUUUGCCACAAAAAGCAUGGCAAAAGGACCCGAAGAUGAUUCCGAGAGGGUGCACAAUAGGGAUGGCAAAAAUCCCCACGGGGACGGGUACCCUCGGGGAUUUUCCCCAUUCGGGGAGGGUACGGGGAUAAUUUUAUACCCAAUUUUUUAUUCGGGGAGGGGACGGGGAAAAUUUUUUACCCAAUUUUUUAUUCGGGGAGGGGACGGGGAAAAUUUUUUACCCAAUUUUUUAUUCGGGGAGGGGACGGGGAAAAUUUUUUACCCAAUUUUUUAUUCGGGGAGGGGACGGGGAAAAUUUUUUACCCAAUUUUUUAUUCGGGGAGGGGACGGGGAAAAUUUUUUACCCAAUUUUUUAUUCGGGGAGGGGACGGGGAAAAUUUUUUACCCAAUUUUUUAUUCGGGGAGGGGACGGGGAAAAUUUUUUACCCAAUUUUUUAUUCGGGGAGGGGACGGGGAAAAUUUUUUACCCAAUUUUUUAUUCGGGGAGGGGACGGGGAAAAUUUUUUACCCAAUUUUUUAUUCGGGGAGGGGACGGGGAAAAUUUUUUACCCAAUUUUUUAUUCGGGGAGGGGACGGGGAAAAUUUUUUACCCAAUUUUUUAUUCGGGGAGGGGACGGGGAUGAGGUGGAAUCCCCAUCCCCUACCCAUUUCCCCAUUUUAAUUUUUAAUUUUAUUUUUAUUUUUAAAAUUACUAAUAAAUAAAUAACAAAAUUAUAAAUAUUGUUAAAAAUAAUAAAUAUUAAAAUAGUUAUAUUAUUAAACUUUUAAACUUAAUUAACUAAUUAAAGUCUUAAAUUUUUAAUCCAAACCACAAUGAUACAGGAGAGAGCUGCCUAAUUAUAAUUUACAACAGUUCUAAUCCUAAUUCGUAUCCUACAUUAGCUCGAAUUGCUAGAGAUAUUUUGGCAAUUCCAAUUACAACAGUUGCUUCUGAAUCAGCUUUUAGCACCGGUGGUAGAGUUGUGAGCUCACACCGUAACAAACUUCAUCCAAGCACAUUGGAGGCCUUAAUAUGCUGUCAAAGUUGGUUACGAGCUUACAAUAGCAGUAUGAGUUUAUUUUACAUUGUAAUUAUAUUAUACAGUUAUUAAUAUUUGCGCUUAUAAGUUACGUUACUUAUAUCAUUUUCAUUGUUUUAGGUUUGAAAUCUGAGGUUAGCUCUCAAUUUGCCACAUUUCUCGAGGAAGAACUGGAGGAGCAGGAGGUAAAUAGUUUUAUUAAAAAUAUUAAUUAAGUAUCUACAUUUAUUUUAUUGUCGAUAUAAAAAUAAUUUUUUUUCUUUUUAUUGUAGGAUUAUGAAGAUUGAGUCAUUGACAAAGAUAAUUAUUUUAAUAAUUUAUAUUUUUGAAUGUGACUUUGAAAUGGAUCAAUAUUAAUGCAAGAUAUAUUUUGAACUUUAUUUUUAUCUGAAUUUUUUAUUUUAAUAUGAUUAAUUUAAAAUCGAAAAAAAAAAUGUAUUAGACUAUUAAUUAUUCGGGGACCGGAGACCCUCGGGGAUCUCCUGUUAGUAUUCGGGGAGGGGAUGGGGAUUCACUUAAGUAAUUCUGACGGGGACGGGGAGGGGACGGGGACAUAACAAAAUAUCGGGGAUGGGUAUGGGGAGAUUGGUCCCCUCCCCUCCCCUCCCCAUUGCCAUCCCUAGUGCACAAUGUCUCCAAAAUAAAAGUAAAGCACGGGGAGAUAGAAAACCAAGCUCUCACAUCCCCAGGAUUCGCUGGUAGUGAACCUAAAUAUGAUUGGCCCGUGGACAAUUCACAAACAGGUGCCGAGAAGUCUCAACAACCCACCCACAAACGCACUAAGAAACUAUAAAGAAACCCCUCGAGCAUAAGGCAUCAUUAGUAGAUAAGAAUCUGUGUAGUAGUUACUAGAGAAAAAAAGAAACUCGUGAUGGGAUAUGCCUCUGCCAAAUCAUCGAGAAAAGUUCAUCCAUCGGCCUAGAGCACCGUACAAGCUCUCAAGCAGUCCGCAAGUGAAACAUGCCGUCAGGGGUAAGGUCCUAACGAAUCAGGUCAGGAUUCCCACUCGAAAUAAACACUAAUAGGAUCUGCUCAAUAAUAGAUGAAGGCAAAAUGUCCUCCAAUUUGCCUCUGUCCCCGACUGUACCCUGCCAAAAGAACGAGACCGGCACUGACGAAGCCGCUGUAGGGUUAUAAAAAAAUAGAGGGCAAGAACUCAGCCAACAAUCAUACCAGAAGCUAUAAUCUCCACUCCUAAUGAGCCAAUGCCCAUGAGGUCUAGUCGUGCAACGAAUCUUACAAAGGCGUCUCUAUAGAGGAGAGGCAGGAUAGAGAAACUGGAUCAGGCUCGGAUGCGUAGAUCUGCAAUACUUGGACUUCAUAUAGGAAGCGCAUAACGAACUCUGCUAACAAAACUGUCACCAAAGUUUAAUCUCAAAAGCCUCCUCCAUAUCAUCAAAAGAUCGUAUGCCAAGGCUACCCUCGUCAACUGGAUAACAAACCUUCGGCCAUCUACACCAGUAGAUCUGGCGCCUUCCCUCAGAAUCACCCCAUAGGAAUUAGGUGAACAAUCGCUCUAGGCACUGAACUACCAUUACAAGAGGACGAAGGACGUGAAAUAAGUGCAGGGGCAUAGAGGAUAACACAUGGCGAAUGAGGACCAGCUUCCCACCAAAAGAAAGCAGACGGUUAUCCCAACCGAAAAUCUUAUCCCUGACCUUACGGGCUGUGUCAUCAAAAUAUGAGAUCUUUAGGUGCCCGAGAUAAGUAAACAGAAGCCGACGCUGCUGAAAACUAGUAACAGAGUGAACAAGGGCCUGGCGAGAGGCCGAAGCCGACUUCCUAAUGUAGGAGUUACUCUUGUCCUGGUUAAUCAACUGCCCCGAGAUCACCUCAUAAUGGUGCAAGAAAUCCAUAAGCUGUUAUAAGCUAGGUUGGCUCCCAUUUGCAAAAAUAAUAAUAUAAUCUGCAAAGCUCAAAUGGGAAUUAGAAGUAGGUGCGGUUGAACAAUACCGAACUGAGGGAUAUGGAGAAUACAAAUGAUCCAAUUCUCGAGAGAAAAAUUCUGCAGCAAUAAUAAACAAGCACGAGGAAAGAGGAUCACCUUGCCGAAGACCCCUCUGGGACUGGAAGUAUCCUUGACUGACCCUAUUCAAAAGUACUGAAAACCAAGGGCCGUAAAUCACUCGCCGAAUCAAAGAAAUCCAAUGCUCCGAGAACCUAAAACAGCGAAUCAUCUUAAGAAUAAAAGGCCAUGACAUAUGAUCGUACACCUUGGCCAUAUCUAAUUUCAGCACCACAGUGUUCCCUCGAGUACGGCGAUUAAGAUCCUGAACGAGCUCCUAAACCAGGAGCACGUUAUCAUGAAUCACUCAACCAGGAACAAAGCCAUUCUGAGUAGGAGAAAUAAUGCGAGGUAGGAGAGGGGACAAUCUCUAGACAAGCAACCUGGUAAGGACCUUGUUGUUCACGUUACAAAGACUAAUCGGACGGAAAUCAGCCCAAGAAUCCGGAGAAGCCUUCUUAGGCAAAAGGACCAAUAAAGUACUUUGGAAACCCCUGGACAUAGCCGAACCUCUGAAAUAAUCGAGGACAACAUCUAACAAGUCACGGCAAAUGAUGUCCCAACACGCCUGAUAGAAUCUGCUAAUUAUAUAAGUUAUUUAAAAAUCAUUCGGACAAACUUCUAGUGACAAUUGAACAUAAAUUUAACUUUAAUAUCUUAUUAAAAAAGUUCGAUACCACUUUAAUAGAAUGGAGAACGUUUAUUUUCCCCUAGGGAAAAUGCACAACAAGUUCUUUUACAUAGACUCCGUAACCAAAUUAGACAAGUAAAUAAUCAAUGACGGAAUUAAGAGCUUGGUUUAACAAGGUCAGCAUGAAGAAACUACAAAUUUGAGGUUAAAAAUUUAGAAAUGGAGGCCAAAACAUAAGAUUUUCAAAGAAUGACUAGAUUUCAAUUAGAUCCCAGGGAACAUUAACCCAAUUUACUGCUUGUCGUAGAACUCUUUGUUUACAUGAAUUAAUGUUUAAUAGCCUUUAGUAUCUCAAGCUUGACCCUUGCAGCUAUCUAUUAGUUCAUUUAAUUAAUAACUUGUACGUAUUAACACCUACUGAAGUAGAAAAUGCCCGCGACUAGUGCAUUAGUUUCUUUAAAAUCCGGAGACAAAGAGUUGUUCUGAUUAUUUUAUAAUUUUUUUUUUCACAUGAGACACCAUUCAAGACAAUGUCCAUGUGGUGUGAAGGCCAAAAUGCCCGUGAACCAGUCAAUUUUUGUCUUUUUCAGCAUUUUAAUAUAAUCACUUUGUAUUUAAAUUACUAUUUGAUCGAUUAAAAUUUCAAUAAUUUUACAGCUAACCACGUAUUUUUUAACCAUAAUUCCCAGCUUCCCUUAUAUAUAUAUAAGUCGGCAUCAGCUGAUCAGCAUGAAUUAAGAGUUCAUAACCAAACUGAAAUAGAUAUCCAAAGUUUAGCGUUACUGAGAAAUAUGAGUUCUAGGAUUUAUUUUAUGCUCAUCGCGAUAUUUACUGUCGCUGGAGUUUUGCAAUUUUCCGGCCAAGUUUUUGGCACACAACAUUGUGGAAUGAAUACAAAUGUUCUUGGCCAGCUUGUAUCACAAUGUGAGAAAUAUGUGUUGAAAUCGGGGCCGAAGAUUCGGCCAUCUCCUGGUUGUUGUGCGGUUGUGAAGAAGUUGAUGUGCCAUGUGUGUGCACGUUUGUUACAAAGCAGAUUGAAGAAAUUGUAAGUAUUGAGAAGAUGGUUUAUGUGGCCAGGUCAUGUGGCAUAAAGAUUUCUGCCGGGACAAAAUGUGGAAGUAAGUAAAUAACAUUCCUCGUGCAAUUACCAAUAAAUUCUAUUAAGAAUGAUAAUGCACUUCUCAAAUAGUAUCUCGACUUUAUUUCUCAUAAGUGAUGCGACAUUUAUCUGUAAAAUAAUAAUAUGAACUAAUAAGUAAUUUUAUAGGUUCAUGAAACUGGCAUUCAAUUGAUGAUCAUAUAUCAUCUCAGUAUGUUCAUAUUCUCAAAGUUCUUCACAUCUUUUUAUUUCAAAUUGAAAGAUAAUAAACGCACUCUAGUUAUCUUUCAAUUAAUGAAUGAAACAUUAAUUCUUGUUGAUGCGAGAUUUUGGUUACGCUCUUCCUACUACCAGGAUAUCUGCUCGAUCAACCUCACCUCAACCAGGAUCUCUCCUAGUAUGCUUUCGUCUCCAAGUAUUCCUGCGUCCACAGAAACAAGUCAGAGCACGCCGGUUAUUUUUCCGGCGUAAACCCUCCGACGCUCAAGUCAGAUGUGAAGGUUCGGGGUACGCUUGGCACAGAUCUUAUGGCUUUUGGGUAGUUUUCUCUUCUUUAGAAUUUCUUUAAUCUCUGUCAUAAUUUCAAAAUUGCUAACCUUUUUACCUUCGUUGGCAACUUUUUUAUAGGCUUCCUCUGAAUCCCAGUUUUCCGCGGUCUACGCCCGUUAUCCUCCCACCUCUCGAACGUGGACUCCCCAUUUCCGUAGUCGUGGGUGGUUGCGUGGCCUUCGUGCCUAGAUUCUCGGGCUGGAGAGCAUGCCUCGCCAACUGUCGUUGACCGGGUCUCCUCGAAUCAACCCUUAGCAAGAAUACAGUAGGAAUGGCUUUAUGCUUCUUACAGGAAAUUGGCCUCGCGGAUGACGUGCUCGUGGAUGAGCAGGAUAUUCCUGCCCCUGUUCCCCUGCUACCUGGCUCUUACAGGACACACCUGCUCGCAGACUUCUGCCACCAAACAUCUGCUCAUCACGUCUGGUCUCGUCAGAGUAUUUCCCUCAAACACCGGUCCCCCAGUUUCUGGUGUUGGGUAAUGUAAUGGACCAGCAGUAGAAACUUAGCGGUUCUUGGUUGCAUGGGACUGGAAAAGGCUGCCAAGAGUCGUGUCGCAUUUAAUUGCGGAUGAGGUGAUGUGGCAGAGAUUCACCCCUCCAUUUUGAAUUUAAAACCGACGGUUACGAGACCCUCGGGAUUCGGUGCUGUUAAAUGCUGGCUAUCCAAGGGUUUUUCUUCCAAUAAGGUAACCCAAAACCUCUCGAAGGGAAAUUAGCCAUUUCCACCGUCUCUGUCCCUGUCUCUCCGGCGAAGAAGUUUCGGCAUAAAAGCCCCCAUCCUUGCCUUUCUCCGACUGAAACAGUACUUCAGGUAUUACUUCUUUCUCCUCGGUCUCGGAUAGUUUGUAGAUAACUUCUUUUUUCUUUGUUUUGCUUGGGGUAGUAGUUGGUGGUGGUGUUUUGGUUAUUACCUAUGGAAUGUCGAAGGGUAAGGAGAAAGUCGUUGAGAUUGAUGACGACGAACUAGGUUUCUUGCCUGGUCUGCUCACUGAUCCUGCUUUUGACCUCGAGAUCCCCUUAGAACCUAUUAGGUUUAGUGUCGGGACUAGUGCUAGGAGGAUGUCCCCCCAAACAACCUCCACGAGCGAAAGCAAUGGUGAGGAGGGACCUUCUGGCUCUGAGGACACCUUAAAUGAGAAUGGGGAAGGUGACUCUGGUGAGGUGUCUCCAUCUGGAACAUCACGACCAGAAGAACGGGGUACAGUAGGAGGCAGAGCCUUGUCGCGUGAUUAUGCCAUUGAUUACAUGACGUGCACGACCUCGUUUGACGAGCUCAAUGACCUCCGGCUUAGGUAUAGCAUUCCUGGUGAGAUACCUCUCAAGGUCCCAGGAAAGAAGGAUGCUCCCAGCCGGCCUCCUAGGGGAUACGUUACCCUGUUUCUAGAGAGCUUUAAGUACGGGCUGAGGUGUCCCUUGCAACCCUACUUUGCCCGGAUACUUAACGGGCUAAAUCUAGCUCCUGGUCAGCUGAAUCCCAAUUGGUGGAGAGUGCUCUCUGGUCUGUUCAUAUUGUGGGACAGAUGUUGCCAAAGCGAGCCCACGGUUGAUGAGGUGAAGCACCUGUACCAGCUAAAGAGCAGCCCCAAAGAUGCCGGCUGGUACUACUUCCAAUCUAGCACCAAGAGCCGGAAACCCAUAACUGAUCUUCCAACUGGUGGUGGUGGGACUUGGAAGAGGAAAUUCUUUUUUGCUGGGGGUCCUUGGGGUCAAGUUGCACAAAUAGACGGGAAGGAUUGUCGCAUCCCACCCCGUUUCACGGUCCCAGGUUGCCUGCUCGCUUUAGAUGUCUUGUAUCCAUAAUUGUUCUUGCUUUAUUGGCUUGUCUCUAACUAAGUGUCUGUUUGUGUUGUAGUUUCUUGGGGUGUUCACUUCCCGCUCUAACCUGACCAGCUCAAACGGGUCAAGGCUGUACUAGCCAAUUUCUGCUCGAGCCGAGAACUGCUAACUACUUACAACUUGCUCGAGUCUCGCUUGGUACUUCCUGGCCAUAAGAUGGAGGACGCCGUGAUUGGGGCUCUGAACAGGAAACGUUCUUGACCUCAAACCACGAAGAGGGACCAGAACAAUGAUGCCCCUACUGCAAAGCGGGCCAACAUCGUGCAGCAGGUCUCUCCCUUGAAGACUUUACCUCCUCCUUCUGCCAAACUCGGCGAGACCAGUGGAGCAGCCACUGAUCCUGCUUCCUCUUCGCCUCCUGUCGGGCAUAGAUCUCGUUUACCUGAAACUGAUCCUGCUUCCUCUUCGCCUCCUAUCGGGCAUAGAUCUCGUUUACCUGAUAGCCGAGCAGAACACUUGGACCCCUAUCUCAACGAGCUUUCCAAACUCGUGAGCAAGAAGGACCUCGAGGACUUUGAUGGCUGCACCUUGGGCGAGCUGGUGGGGGCCAUGCAGUAUAGCGCUUUCCAUCUCAGCUGCAUGACCACCUACUAUAAGGCCAAGGUUGGCCGUUAUGACAGGAAGAUGAAGGAGGACAUUCAGUCGGCGACGACCAGAGCUGACGUUGCUGAGAAGAAAGCAGGGGACUUAAACCUCGAGAAUCUGAAGUUGAUUGAGCGAGAAUCUCUUGCUCAAGCCAAGGCUAUUACUCUCGAGGAAGAGCUGGCCAAGGUCAAGGAAGAUCUACAAAAGCAGAAAGCUAUGUACGAGGCUCAGCUCGAAUCUCUCCGUGAUUCCCACCGGGUUCAGGUCGAGAACUUAGAGAAGGAGGCUGACAACCAGUACGACCAGGGACUUCGGCAUUCAUGCCUUAGGAAUUUUUAUAACACUUGAGGGUCUGCUCGCCUUCGCUUGGUCGAGCAGAUCCUGGCACGCUUGGCUUCUGGUCUCGCCAUAAACAGGCUUUGAGACUUGGUGAGCCUUUGCAUGCCUUAGGAAUUUUUAUAACACUUGAGGGUCUGCUCGCCUUCGCUUGGUCGAGCGGAUCCUGGCACGCUUGGCUUCUGGUCUCGCCAUAAAACAGGUUUUGAGACUUGUGAGCCUUUGCAUGCCUUAGGAAUUUUUAUAACACUUGAGGGUCUGCUCGCCUUCGCUUGGUCGAGCAGAUCCUGGCACGCUUGGCUUCUGGUCUCGCCAUAAAACAGGUUUUGAGACUUGUGAGCCUUUGCAUGCCUUAGGAAUUUUUAUAACACUUGAGGGUCUGCUCGCCUUCGCUUGGUCGAGCAGAUCCUGGCACGCUUGGCUUCUGGUCUCGCCAUAAAACAGGUUUUGAGACUUGUGAGCCUUUGCAUGCCUUAGGAAUUUUUAUAACACUUGAGGGUCUGCUCGCCUUCGCUUGGUCGAGCAGAUCCUGGCACGCUUGGCUUCUGGUCUCGCCAUAAAACAGGUUUUGAGACUUGUGAGCCUUUGCAUGCCUUAGGAAUUUUUAUAACACUUGAGGGUCUGCUCGCCUUCGCUUGGUCGAGCAGAUCCUGGCACGCUUGGCUUCUGGUCUCGCCAUAAACAGGCUUUGAGACUUGGUGAGCCUUUGCAUGCCUUAGGAAUUUUUAUAACACUUGAGGGUCUGCUCGCCUUCGCUUGGUCGAGCGGAUCCUGGCACGCUUGGCUUCUGGUCUCGCCAUAAAACAGGUUUUGAGACUUGUGAGCCUUUGCAUGCCUUAGGAAUUUUUAUAACACUUGAGGGUCUGCUCGCCUUCGCUUGGUCGAGCAGAUCCUGGCACGCUUGGCUUCUGGUCUCGCCAUAAAACAGGUUUUGAGACUUGUGAGCCUUUGCAUGCCUUAGGAAUUUUUAUAACACUUGAGGGUCUGCUCGCCUUCGCUUGGUCGAGCAGAUCCUGGCACGCUUGGCUUCUGGUCUCGCCAUAAAACAGGUUUUGAGACUUGUGAGCCUUUGCAUGCCUUAGGAAUUUUUAUAACACUUGAGGGUCUGCUCGCCUUCGCUUGGUCGAGCAGAUCCUGGCACGCUUGGCUUCUGGUCUCGCCAUAAAACAGGUUUUGAGACUUGUGAGCCUUUGCAUGCCUUAGGAAUUUUUAUAACACUUGAGGGUCUGCUCGCCUUCGCUUGGUCGAGCGGAUCCUGGCACGCUUGGCUUCUGUCUCGCCAUAAAACAGGCUUUGAGACUUGGUGAGCCUUUGCAUGCCUUAGGAAUUUUUAUAACACUUGAGGGUCUGCUCGCCUUCGCUUGGUCGAGCAGAUCCUGGCACGCUUGGCUUCUGGUCUCGCCAUAAAACAGGUUUUGAGACUUGUGAGCCUUUGCAUGCCUUAGGAAUUUUUAUAACACUUGAGGGUCUGCUCGCCUUCGCUUGGUCGAGCAGAUCCUGGCACGCUUGGCUUCUGGUCUCGCCAUAAAACAGGUUUUGAGACUUGUGAGCCUUUGCAUGCCUUAGGAAUUUUUAUAACACUUGAGGGUCUGCUCGCCUUCGCUUGGUCGAGCAGAUCCUGGCACGCUUGGCUUCUGGUCUCGCCAUAAAACAGGUUUUGAGACUUGUGAGCCUUUGCAUGCCUUAGGAAUUUUUAUAACACUUGAGGGUCUGCUCGCCUUCGCUUGGUCGAGCAGAUCCUGGCACGCUUGGCUUCUGGUCUCGCCAUAAAACAGCUUUGAGACUUGGUGAGCCUUUGCAUGCCUUAGGAAUUUUUAUAACAAUUGAGGGUCUGCUCGCCUUCGCUUGGUCGAGCAGAUCCUGGCACGCUUGGCUUCUGGUCUCGCCAAAAAACAGGCUUUGAGACUUGGUGAGCCUUUGCAUGCCUUAGGAAUUUUUAUAACAAUUGAGGGUCUGCUCGCCUUCGCUUGGUCGAGCAGAUCCUGGCACGCUUGGCUUCUGGUCUCGCCAAAAAACAGGCUUUGAGACUUGGUGAGCCUUUGCAUGCCUUAGGAAUUUUUAUAACAAUUGAGGGUCUGCUCGCCUUCGCUUGGUCGAGCAGAUCCUGGCACGCUUGGCUUCUGGUCUCGCCAAAAAACAGGCUUUGAGACUUGGUGAGCCUUUGCAUGCCUUAAGAAUUUUUUCGAAUGCUUUGGAGUCUGCUCGCCUUCUCGUGGUCAAGCAGAUCCUGGCACGCUUGGCUUCUGUCUCGCCAUAAAACAGGCUUUGAGACUUGGUGAGCCUUUGCAUGCCUUAGGAAAUUUUUCACAGUUUCAAGCGAAUGAAAUUCCUCGACGUUUCAUUGAUGGCAGGAUUCAACUUACAUGAAAUUGUUUGGACAUAAAACAUAAAAGAUAAACGAUAAUGAACACGAGCAGAAAUAGCUUUCAAAUGUGAACAAGUCUUACUGGAAGUAUUUUGAGCACCUUUCUUUAUUACCAGCUUAUGACAUGCUACCUCAGGGUCAAUCCCUGGCAUGUCUGGAGGUGUCCAAGCAAACACAUCUGCAUGAGCCUGUAAGCAUUUCAUCGCAGGAAUGUUGAUGAAGGCCACCAUAUGCCGAAUCAUGCCUUCUCCAAGGCUCUCUAGCUGGGGAACGAGGAGGUUGCGCCCUGCUGCGCUGAUACUGUAGUGGCCUCUGAUGAGGCUGGUAAGCAGUUACCCGACCUCCUGCUCCACUACCCGAGGCCUGGUGGUCCCCUUGGUAAGGACCUUCCUCAUCCACUACCACAAAGUCCAGUAUCAUUGUCAUUUCUGUCGGGGAGCCCCCAAUCGUGAUAGGCAGCUCGACCACGCCCAGAGGGACCAGCUUUCCUCCUCCAAACCCCUUCAAGGAGGUAUUGGUGUAAUCCAACUUCAGGUCUGCUAUUCUCAUCUCGUCCAGGGUUGACUUAAACAACACAUCAAUUGAACUCCCUGUGUCAACCAGUAUCCUGUCAAACUUCUUGCUAGCAACAGUGGCCUUGAUGACCAAAGCAUCCUCGUGGGGGUAUAGAAUCCCUUCCUCAUCCUCAUCUGUCCACAUGAUUGGCACUUGCCUGACUCUUGCACGUUUGGCUGCUGGGGUGUUGAAGAAUACCUCUUUGCUGGUCAUGGCGUAUCUAGCGUAAUUCUUCCUCGACCUGUUGGAAUCUCCGGCCAAUAUUGGGCCCCCAGCUAUCACCCUUAUUGCAGGCUGCUCGCGCCUCAAGUUCCUGUCACUCUGCUCCCCUUCGCUGGUCGAUCAGGUGCACUGUCCUUUCUCUAUUUGCUCCGUUCUGAGUUGGGGGCGGUGGCAGCGCUUCUGGUCUGCCCCCUCUACUACCGUGGGAGUGUUGAUGAAGACCACCAUACGUCGAGUCAUGCCUUCUCCAAGGCUCCCCAGCUGGGGAACGAGGAGGUUGCGCCCUGCUGUGCUGAUACUGUGGUGGCCUCUGAUGAGGCUGGUAAGCAGUUACCCGACCUCCUGCUCCAUUACCCGAGGCCUGGUGGUCCCUCCUCCUGAUCGGCCGAUUCCCCGGUAAUGCUUUCUUUUCUUUCCUCCCCCACUCUUCUAACUGGUCUGUCUUAAUCCGUGCUGCCUUCUCAUCUUCAAUCUCAAUGUCUCUUUUAGCCUACUCUUCGAUCUUUUAUGGCCUCGUACACCUCAUCCAAGGACAUCUUCAAGGAGGUAUACCGCCCAUAGUCCUGGUUCUGGUCGAUCAGGUGCACUGCUCUUUCUCUGUUUGCUCCGUUCUGAGUUGGGGGCGGUGGCAGUACUUCUGGUCUGCUCCCUCUGCUACCAUGGGAAUGUUGAUGAAGACCACCAUAUGCCGAAUCAUGCCUUCUCCAAGGCUCCCUAGCUGGGGAAUGAGGAGGUUGCGCCCUGCUGCGCUGAUACUGUGGUGGCCUCUGAUGAGGCUGGUAAGCAGUUACCCGACCUCCUGCUCCACUACCCGAGGNNNNNNNNNNNNNNNNNNNNNNNNNNNNNNNNNNNNNNNNNNNNNNNNNNNNNNNNNNNNNNNNNNNNNNNNNNNNNNNNNNNNNNNNNNNNNNNNNNNNNNNNNNNNNNNNNNNNNNNNNNNNNNNNNNNNNNNNNNNNNNNNNNNNNNNNNNNNNNNNNNNNNNNNNNNNNNNNNNNNNNNNNNNNNNNNNNNNNNNNNNNNNNNNNNNNNNNNNNNNNNNNNNNNNNNNNNNNNNNNNNNNNNNNNNNNNNNNNNNNNNNNNNNNNNNNNNNNNNNNNNNNNNNNNNNNNNNNNNNNNNNNNNNNNNNNNNNNNNNNNNNNNNNNNNNNNNNNNNNNNNNNNNNNNNNNNNNNNNNNNNNNNNNNNNNNNNNNNNNNNNNNNNNNNNNNNNNNNNNNNNNNNNNNNNNNNNNNNNNNNNNNNNNNNNNNNNNNNNNNNNNNNNNNNNNNNNNNNNNNNNNNNNNNNNNNNNNNNNNNNNNNNNNNNNNNNNNNNNNNNNNNNNNNNNNNNNNNNNNNNNNNNNNNNNNNNNNNNNNNNNNNNNNNNNNNNNNNNNNNNNNNNNNNNNNNNNNNNNNNNNNNNNNNNNNNNNNNNNNNNNNNNNNNNNNNNNNNNNNNNNNNNNNNNNNNNNNNNNNNNNNNNNNNNNNNNNNNNNNNNNNNNNNNNNNNNNNNNNNNNNNNNNNNNNNNNNNNNNNNNNNNNNNNNNNNNNNNNNNNNNNNNCGGUACAGCAGAAAUUUAAUAAUAAUUCGACCAACAAAUUAAUAUUAAUAAAUUAAUAUUAAUGAAUUAUAAUAAAAAUUUAUUAAAUAUUGAUUUUGUUUCCAAUUUGAAUAAGGAUAAUUUUGGGUUUAGGUAAUAAUUUUAAGGACAUUUAUGUAAUUGUAUUAAAUGAUAAAAUUGAUUCUUAAAAUCAGAAUUUAAAAGCUACUCAUUCUCUACUUUUCAAAAUCAGCUGUAAGAAUGGUUGAUUUUGACAAAAGUGAUUUUGAUUUUUUUUCGAAACAAUAAAAUUAGCUUUUACAUUUUUAAAAUCACUUUUAAACCUCCUAAAAACAAUUUCAAACGAGCCCUUACUAUAAUUGUCUGCUGUACGGCCAAGGCGGAUGUACGGUACAGCAGUUUAUUUUUCUUUUCUUUUCUUUUAAUCAAGAGAUGUAUUUGCAUAAAUUGUUUGAUCAUUAAUGUCAUUUUAUUAAAAUUCUCUCACAAUACCUAAUAGGUACGUAAGAAGGAAAAGUAACUCUGAGUGGUAACAAUUAUUUUCACAAUAUUCUUAUUAUUCUUUAUAGGUUAAACACUAAUUCAAUUUGCUCUCCAUUUAUAUAUAUAUGAGUGGUGUUAGAACCUUUCAUUGUUUUAUUUUCAGUACAAAAUUUUUUGUCAAUUCUACUAAAUGACACUUAUAAUGUUAUUGCCCCAAAAUAAAUUAGCAAAAUAUCCAGACAAAAGAUUAAUCAAAUUUUAAACGGCAAGAAAAACAACCAAAAAUGAUCAACUUAUCAAAAUCUUCACUGCUGUACCGUACAUCCGCCUUGGCCGUACAGCAGACUCUCGUGCACAUCCCUCAAGAGAUAGUGGGAACACCCUGCACCUUUGGGAUUGAGAUAAUCCUUGUACCCCCAUUAUGUCGUUGAAGCGCUCUAUGUGCACCAGCGGAUCAGUUCUUCCCGAGUAUCUAAGGUUUGGGAGGUGGAAAUCUCUCGGAAUAGUUGCCCUCAUGAUCUCUGCUGCGAGCGGUGAUUCUCCGUCCAGCAUUAUCCUCCAACCAGGAGCUCUGCUCCUUCCUUGCAUGUCGUCAAUUAUCUGCGCUAAUCUGCGCACUUCCUCCUCAAGUUGCACUGCACGACCAGGGUCACAUGCUGCAACUUGAUCCCUCUCUUGCUCCACAUCAUGCAAGUGUUGCCUCAACUCUGUUUCCUCUGCAUUCGCUACCCCGUCGUCCUCGUCAAAAAUCUGUCUUACUGGGGACUGCUCUUCCUCUCUAUGAAAGUCUCCCCGCAGAGGUAUGUUACCUCUAUCACCACCAAAUCUCCCGGUGGUUAGACUUCUUCUCGCACUAUCGGGACCUGGUGCCACUCCGCCACCUCUCACUCUUUCCUCCUGGGUUACGCUUCGGUCGCUCCUCAGCUCAUGCAGGAUGGUUGUCAAGGUCUCCAUCUGCUUUUCCAUCCGUUCCAUCCGGUCGAACAUGGCUUUUUCCCGUGCUUCACUGGCAGGAUAUCUACUCGAUCAACCUCACCUCGACCAGGAUCUCUUCUAGUAUGCUUUCAUCUCCAAGUAUUCCUGCGUCCACAGAAACAAGUCAGAGCACGCCGGUUGUUUUCCCGGCGUAAACCCUCCGACGCUCAAGUCAGAUAUGAAGGUUCGGGGUACGCUUGCCACAGAUCUUAUGGCUUUUGGGUAGUUUUCUCUUCUUUAGAAUUUCUUUAAUCUCUGUUCUAAUUUCAAAAUUGCUAACCCUUUUACCUUCGUUGGCAACCUUUUUAUAGGCUUCCUCUGAAUCCCAGUUUUCCGCGGUCUACGCCCGUUAUCCUCCCACCUCUCGAACGUGGAUUCCCCAUUUCCGUAGUCGUGGGUGGUUGCGUGGCCUUCGUGCCUAGAUUCUCGGGCUGGAGAGCAUGCCUCGCCAACUGUCGUUGACCGGGUCUCCUCGAAUCAACCCUUAGCAAGAAUACAACAGGAAUGACUUUAUGCUUCUUACAGGAAAUUGGCCUCGCGGAUGACGUGCUCGUGGAUGAGCAGGAUAUUCCUGCCCCUGUUCCCCUGCUACCUGGCUCUUACAGGACACACCUGCUCGCAGACUUCUGCCACCAAACAUCUGCUCAUCACGUCUGGUCUCGUCGGAGUAUUUCCCUCAAACAAUUCUCAUUGGAUAAUCAACAUAUACUUGUUUUAGAGUCCUCAGGUGGACGACUUUUGAGGUAAAUAAAUCCAGGAUUCCUGAAACUGAACAUUCGUGUUUGAAACUUUCAAUAUCCAAAUUCAGUCAUGCAAUACAACUACACUAUUUUAAAUCAAUUAUAUGGUUUCAGUUUCAGAUUUUGUAUUUCCAGCAUAAAUAAUCAUGCAAGCUUUUGAUUCCCAAAAGACCAUUGUUCGAUUUUUUCUUACCCUUCUACCCCCUCCCCCCGCAUUUUCAAAUCGUCCAUAACUUUUCUGCAAUGUUCAGCCUGUGGAAAGGUAAUUUUAUCAGUGCAAGUGCUUGCAUUGUUCAUUUCUUCAGAUAGCCAUUUGCUGCGUCUAAAAAUUCAUGCUGUGUUCACUGAUGAAGGCAACUAGGAGUCAACGUCUAUUUAGAUCAGGAAAAUGACUUGUGUGGUGUGAAUUUACACAUGAAAUUCAAUUGGCAUAUUUGUCACUUGUCAGGCUCAAUGGACCCCUUUCAAAUUUCACUUUAGAAUAUUUAUUUAUUUUUUAUCUAAAGAUAAGGAUUUAAUUACACAAAAUUCAGCCUCACGAAAGUCAUACAAAAUGCGAUCAGUGAAAUACAUUCAGGAUUAACAAUCGCUUUGAUCAAUCAAAUACAUCCCUUGGUUUAUAAGUUCUGAUAUGGAAAUUUCUUGAACAACAGAUUUUCCCAGCGGUGAUUUCCUUGCGAGAAAUUCUUGAGAUAUGCGUUGCAUUGUAGGUCGAGCCUUGGGUUUUGACUGCAAGCAUGCAAAUGCCACUGUUGAAACAAGAAUAAUAUCAUGAACAACCCUUCGAUCAACUGGAAAUGGGAGACGUUGGUCUAAAACAUCGAUCAACCUAAUCUUCCGACCAGAUGAUGACGAUAAAGAUGAAAGAAGAUCUGUUGGAUGACUUCCCAUUAAUACUUCUAGUGCCACUACGCCAAAGCUAUAAACAUCACAUUUCUCUGUCACAGCCAUGGUGUAGGCAAGUUCUGCAACAAAAUAGAACCCAUUGUAGAAUUUCAUUGCACAAGUAAACAACACAAAAAAAAAAAAAAAAAGAAUAAGCAUUUGAUUAUCUGUUUCUGAAAGCUUCUGCAGCUAGAUAUUUAAGAGAUAUCUGAUUGAUUUUUAAAUACAUUCAAUGUAUAAACACGAGUAAGAAGCAUGAAAAGAAUAGAUAAAGGUUACCUGGAGCAAUAUAUCCAUAUGUUCCCACCACUAGAGUUCUGUUGGAGGAAUCUGGAUGCAGGAGCCUAGCCAAACCAAAAUCAGCAACAAAUGCCUCUAGGUUUGAGUUAAGUAGAAUGUUAUUGCUGGAUAUGUCGCGGUGAACAAUGGAUGGCUUGCAGUCAUAAUGCAGGUAAGACAAAGCAUGAGCCAUGCUCUUUACAAUGUUCACUCUCUUUGUCCAAUCCAACUCAACUGCUUCAACAUCAUUGCGUAACACACAAAACAAGCUUCCCCUCUCCAUGUACUCAUAGAUCAAAAACAUGCACUUGUUGUGCAAACAGAAACCAUAAAGCUUCACUAUAUUACGAUGCCGUAUUUGGGACAGUAGACGAGCUUCGGUUUGGAAACUUUCCAGGAAAGCUGGCUCCUCUGUCUCUGAACGGUGAAGUUUCUUCAAAGCAACUAGUUUUCCACUAGACAAUUGCGCUCUGUAAACGCUGCCAUAACCUCCGGUUCCAAUGCAAUAUUUGAUGUGGAAAUCCUCUGUCGCUUCAAUCAUCUCUUCAAAUGUAAUUCUACCAUCAUAAUUCCAUAUGGAGAACUCAUUAGCCCCCUCGGUCAUUUCUCGGGUAUUAGGAUUAAAUUUCUUAUCCUUUCGUCUAUGGACAAACAAGAUACCAAAAAUUAAGAUUGCCAAAACAAAUGCCACCAUAGCAAGAAUGAUUGUGACCAAGCGAGUGACGAUCUUUCGCUGCUUCCCUUUGUUGCCUUUGAACGGUGUUGCUUGGGGUGGCGGUGCAUUUUCUGAACUAGUUGAGUUUUCUAACUCUAGAUUAUUUUCUGACACUAUCAAUUUGGGAAUUCUUCGGACAGAUGCAGGGAUAACGCCGGAGAGGUUAUUCUUGGAAAGAUCCACGGCAGAAAUGUUUGGAAUUUUUCCGAGUUGUGAAGGUAUCGUGCCAUUUAUGAAGUUACGGCUUAAAUCAAGUUGUCUCAAAAAUAUAAGGUUGCCUAUCUCCGAUGGAAUGCUUCCGCUUAAACUGU
rnacentral:lncRNA from 1 species